UUGGGAAGCAAUCCUGGGAUGCUGGAGUGGGGAAGAAAAGAGAGUAAGACAGAAAAGGAAGCAAAGCCAGUUUAAGUAUAAAGAUAACCACAGUGGGCAGUGGGAAUCCAUUCUGCCACAAGCUGCUGAGAAGGAAAUAAAUAGGUCCUAGAAUUUUCAUCCUAAAGGACAGGAGCUGGAUCACUUAUCCAUGAGUUAUCGUCUCCCACUCUUGAGGGUUGCUCCAUGACUCCAAGCUUGGCUGCGUUGGCUCCUGUACAUCAGAGACUAUGCUAAGGGCAGACGGAAUCACCAGGAGUCAACAAUGAUAAACUCAUCCUAAAUGCAAGAUGUCUUCAAAAGAUAUGUCUCAGUGCUCAAGAGCUCUGGGGCUAUGAUUGGAGAUGAGCUCAAGACACAGACAGGAUCAGAGAGGCCAGGAUUUCAGCAUUGCUCAAGAUCAUUUCUGAUAACUUUUGAUUCUGUCAUCUAAACACAGACUAAGAGAGAGAAAAAGUAGGGAUUUUUCCCCCCCUUAAUUUCAGGAACCAAAGAUCUAAAGAGUGAAUAAAAUGGAUAUAAUAAAAAGGGUUUAGAAACUUCAA